GGCCUGAUGGUCUAGUGGUAUGAUUGUCGCUUCGGGUUCCCAAGCCUGGAUGUUUCUAAGCAUCUUGAAUUGUGACAGGCCCCGGGUUCGAAUCCCGGUCAGGCCC